rnacentral:lncRNA from 1 species
AGUUUGGGGCUGAUGAGAAAUGUUUGGAAGUCUUCAAAGGAAGAGAGAUGGACUCUCUGCCCGGGAAGGCGCCUCUGCUCCCUCUGGCCUGACUCACAAAGGGAGCAGCAAACUGGCCUGAAGACGAUGAUUGAGUGGGUCUGACCAAGAUAAUUACCCCAGUUACAGAAGCAGCCGUGAGGUUUUGUGCGUCUCCUGCUCACUCCCUUCAAGAGCCCCUUCCCUCAUUUACGUCCUUACCCAUGUCCUGUGGGGAAGAGGAUGGUAUAGGGAUCUCCUAGUCUGGAGGAGAUGGAGGAGGAGCAGAUUCAGACCCUGCCUUAAAAAAGAAGCAAUGGAUCCAGGCCUGCCCUCAGGAAGUUUCUCUUCAGACCGUGGAGAACAAAGUUACAAUUCAAUUCAACAAAACAUUCACAAAGAAGAGGACAGAAUAAAACAGAAAUACAAAAAAUCCUUCUCUUCUUUAUUUUCAACCAGAGUAUCCUCUUGGCCCCAGAUCUGUUAUUAAAAUGGUUUUCUCAUUAAGAAAGCUUUCUUCUCUGCAGAGAGGGGCUCUCAUACCUGGCAACUGCUAAUCCCCAGAGACAGACUUUUCCUUUCAGCCUCAACCUUCACAGUUGGUUCUAAAGACUUGUCCAGUUCUGCCUGUCACAGAACUGUUAGUAAAAACACUUAACCCAGUUAACUCCUC